rnacentral:misc_RNA from 1 species
CAACCUUAAAGCCCGGCUUUUUAUUGGAUUCUAGUUCUGCUUCGGCGGGACAGGUCCGAAAUGGAUUAAUGACGUCGCGAUUACCACGGAAUCGAGCGAAUGGAAUCAUUAACGCUCUGAUUUGAAGUGGCCGACGGUCUUCUGAAGCGGUCCUUUUGGAUCGUCUUUUUAAC